rnacentral:lncRNA from 1 species
UGAUUUACAUGUGAAUCACAUGUAAUUCAUAUGUGAAUUACAUGUAAUUACAACGUUGAAUUUUUUAUAAAUUUAGCUAAGUAAAAAAGAAACAAUCAUGAUUGUCCAGAUUUAAAUGUUGAACUCAUUAUACAAUGUUCUCUUCCAAUCUCUCUCAUAUGGCUUAACAUGAAGACAAUCUUGUUAUGGUGUGGCCAAGAUGAAGACAUCUCCCAAACGUUGCAUAAUGAGUUCUUGGUGCUUCAAUAACAUGCCAAUAACAAAUACAAUGUUCAAUGGUAGCAACAUAAGUAAAAUAUAACAAUCCAUGCAUUUAAAUCAAGUAUUCAAUGCUACAAAUUUGGCAUAUUAAGAAAAAAUGAAGGAUUGUAUAAAAUUUGAAUUGCAACAGUCAUAUCACAUAACACGAAUUGAUUCAAAGAGGAAUACACAAAACAUAUUACCUCUGAAAACUUUGAGAUUGACAUAAGAAUUCCAUGACAUGAGAAAACAACUCCUAGGAGUCCACUGCUAUUGAGAAACAAAUCGCCACUUUUCAACAUGUAAAAACCCAAUGUUAGAUCUUUAUCACCACAACCUGCAAGACUAUACACUAUUCUAGCAACAAUAAUGGCAUGAACACUCAGUUGUAUACAAACAAAACACACGCAAAUCGAUUUCACAAUUUAGAAAAGAAAAAAGAAGGAUUAAUUUUCACAAUACAUUAGAAUAUUUUAUUAAUUAAGGUAGAAAUUAAUUAAUUAAUUAAUUAUAACCUUCACGAAUAAAAAGAUCACGAAAGAGUCUUUUUAGGUAAGCAUAAUUUGGUUUAUCAUCAAAUCUUAAAGAACAAAAAUAAUGGAAGUAUGAUGAAAACUCUGUAGGGUAGCCUCUACAUAAAGCCUGAAAACACGAGGGACAAUCUUGUCAUUUCCAUGCCAAAAACUACUCACCAAGGUAUGAUUUUUAACAAAAAUAACUUACUUCAAUUGAUGUGGACACCUUCUUCUCACUGAUCUUUUCAUAUUUUUGCUUCUUAUUUCCCGCUUUCAGUCCUUGCCAUGGGAGACUACUAUGUACAAAACGUAUUAGUCAAGUCAUAUAUGUAGCAAAAGACAUACAUAUUUACUCAUAAAAUAAACAUUUGAGAAGAGAGAGAGAGAGAGAGAGAGAGAGAGAGAGAGACUAAUUUGUGGAUUUUUCCAUUAACUGAUAGUGGUGUUAAAUAGAAUGGUACCUUCAAUUUCAAUUGAGUUCCGAAUUUGAGGUUUGAAUUGAAUCGUAUUGUCCAUAUAAAUCCAAUCGAGUUUGUGAUUUCUUCCUGAACUGUUCGAUUAUCGUUGGUGGCGGCGAGGGUAACUACGUCAUGCACGUGAAUGAUUAGGUUAUUAUGGACGUAAGGUCGGAGGUGAGGGUUUGGAACGAGAAUACUGGAAUAGCGGCAAUCAAAGGAGAUAAGGCAGUUGGUAUGACGAUAUGAUACACAUAUGC